UUUUACGGAGAGUUUGAUCCUGGCUCAGGAUGAACGCUGGCGGCGUGCUUAACACAUGCAAGUCGAACGGUGAAGCCAAGCUUGCUUGGUGGAUCAGUGGCGAACGGGUGAGUAACACGUGAGCAACCUGCCCUGGACUCUGGGAUAAGCGCUGGAAACGGCGUCUAAUACUGGAUAUGAG
rnacentral:rRNA from 1 species